GGGGUCUUUCCCGAGGUCCCUGAGCCCCCGGGAAGGCGGGCAGGAGAAGCGGCCGCUCGCUCCCCUUGACUUGGAGAGGUGCCAAAGUAAAGCGACGGCUCCAAAGUCCAAAGAUGAGCGAUCGUUGAUUUGUAACGUACAAGCCUCUGCCAGAUUUGUGCAGGGUGCAAGGAAGCACGCUUGCAGUUCUGAAUGUGAUUGAUAAAACGGAAAGGAAUAAAAGACGUGGUUUCAAAGGUGAUGCACUUCCUUGCAGCAACUGCCGUGCGCCCGGUUCGGUUUGUGCAUCCCACUUCUGCAGCUUUCAUUUUGGGUGGGGGGGCAGCUCGCCGCAAGUUCUUUGGGAAUGCCCGCCCAGCUGCUGAGAACACGAACUCCCUUCCUAGCCAACGAUGGGUGGUGCCACUUAAUUUGUACUAGGGUGCUGUUUUUUGUAGAUUGUUUUGAAUUGAUUUAGCUUAGUGCAGGGGUAGGCAACCUCGGCUCUUUUAUGACUCAUGGACUCAUGCUGACUCGGGAAUUCUGGGAGUCGAAAUCCAUGAGUCAUAAAAGAGCAGAAGUUGCCUACCCCUGGCUUAGUGUAUUGUGUCCACCCAUCCUUUGUAGGUUGUAUAGUUUAUGCUAGGGUGGCCCACCUUUUCACAGCUGGAGGUUAUAUGUAAGAUUUUGGCGGGUGUUGGGAUGGUGGUAGAUAAAAUGAUUGUGGGGGGGAAAGAAGUUGGACAAGGAGGUGCAAACUUUGUGGCAUGGAACAUGCUAUUUCCCCCCAAAACAUUCCAUUUUCCCUCUGGAACAGGGUGAUCCAGUUGCUCACGGAUCCGACUGUUCAUUCCCAUCUGGAACAUGGCAACCAACUUGCUAUUCUGGGAGAUUUACUUUAUAGAAUGGCCAGAGUGUCCCAUUCAGAGAAAAAUACAGAAUGUUCCAUGCUUAGAAUGAAGAGUUUUGCACGAUAUCCUGGAUGAUGGUCAAAACAGGCUCCUGGACUACACUCGGCCCUAACUUCUAGCUCUUGUGUCCAUGAAAUGACAGGACAGAGAAAGUCCUGUCUGAAAGAUCCCAGCAAGGCUGCUGUUAAUUGAGAGUCAACAUUUUCAGAAUGAAUCUCCAGUGAGUCCACAUAAGGUCUCAGGUUGCUUUCAACUUCUUUCUGAGCAGAAGAUCCAGCUUUACGUAGGACUUCAGCAACUCUGUUUGGGGCUGCUGCCAGUUGAGCUUCUUGGCAAAUGUAUUUCAAGUAAUCGUGCACCAAGGUGUUCACAUAAAGGAAAUUGUAACUUUCCAUUUGAAAAAAAAAAAAA